AUUGAACGCUGGAGGCAGGCCUAACACAUGCAAGUCGAGCGAGCGGCGGACGGGUGAGUAAUGUAUGGGGACUGCCCGAUAGAGGGGGAUAACUACUGGAAACGGUGGCUAAUAACGCAUACUAUCGGAUAACCCAUAUGGGAUUAGCUAGUAGGUGGGGUAAAGGCUAACCUCGGCGACGAUCUCUAGCUGGUAUGAGAGCAGGAUCAGCAAAACGGGGACUGAGACACGGCCCAGACGCCUACGGAGGCAGCAGUGGGGAAUAUUGCACAAUGGGCGCAAGCCGGAUGCAGCCAGGCCGCGUGUAUGAAGAAGGCCUUAGGGUUGUAAAGUACUUUCAGCGGGGAGGCGUUACCCGCAGAAGAAGCACCGGCUAACUCCGUGCCAGCAGCCGCGGGAAUUC
rnacentral:rRNA from 1 species